CGUUCCUUUGCAAUCUUUGUUUGAGUAUCAAAAAUGGGAUAAACUGUGUUCUGAUACUGAAGGAGUGUAUGUGGACUUAGUGCAAGAAUUCUAUAAAAAUUUGAGGGUUGAUGAUUCUGACAAAGAUGAGUCUUUUAAGGUGAAAAUGAAAGGGACAAUUUAUGAAGUGACAGUAGCUAGAUUAGCUAAAGCCCUAGGAAUUCCAAACAGUGGGAACAAAAUCUGCUCCCACAAAGAUGUUUUUGCUGUUGGUGGAUUUAACAAAAGGGAUUUUGAGGGUGAAGUGUUUAAAGGAGAAGUGAAGGAUAAGACUAGCAUUACCCAUGCUCAUCAACACAUUAAAAUUCUUCAUAGUUUUAUCAUUUAUGUGUUGAAUCCUAGAACUGGCAGUCCCAACUAUUUGAGUACCCUUGAUCUCUGCAUAAUUUGGCAUAUUGUGAACCAAAUUGAAUUUAAUCUUGCCUAUUUUAUGUUGAAGCAAAUCAUGAAAUGGAAACCACCUUACAAGCUACCCUAUGCCCAUCUUCUAAAUGGUCUGUUUAGAGACUUUGGGAUACCUUUGGAAACUGAGAAACUUAGGACCAAUAUGAUCCCAAUCACUAGCUUGCAAAAAGAUGAUGAUGGUAGAAAGCUUAGAUUUGAGCAAGGUGCUAGCUCCAAAGAUAGUGCAAGUGGUACUUUCAAUGUUGAAGGUAUUUUGGAGGAAGUAAACAAUUUGAGAGAAUUUGUUGAAAUGGAACUUGGAGAGCUACAAAAAUUUAGAAGUUUUCAAACUAUUCUUAUGAAUGCUCUUGACUCUAAAGUUGAUGGAUCUUUGAUGUUGAUGUACAAGAUUGUUGAAGAGUUGUUUAAAAUCAAAGUCCAUUUGGGUAUUUCAACCACUGAGGCUGGAGAAACCAGUAAGGCUGCUACUGGUUCUGUUCCUCAAGCCGAGAAAGAAAAAGAAAAGGAAGAAGAGAAAGAAAAAGAGAAAGAAGAAGAAACAGAAGAGGAAGAGG
rnacentral:misc_RNA from 1 species